rnacentral:rRNA from 1 species
UCAGGUCGUGGGACAACCACUGGAAACGGUGGCUAAUMCCGGAUGUGCCGAARGGUGAAAGGUUAMCUGCCUGGAGAKGAGCUCGCGUCUGAUUAGCUAGUUGGKAGGGUAAGAGCUUACCAAGGCGACGAUCAGURGCUGGKCUGAGAGGACGAUCAGCCACACUGGGACUGAGACACGGCCCAGACUCCUACGGGAGGCAGCGGGGGGGAAUUUUCCGCAAUGGGCGAAAGCCUGACGGAGCAAUACCGCGUGAGGGAGGAAGGCUCAUUGGGUUGYAAACCUCUUUUCUCAGGGAAGAUAAKGACGGUSCUUGAGGAAWCAGCAUCGGCUAACUCCSUGCCAGCAGCCGCGGKAAUACRGAGGAKGCAAGCGUUAUCCGGAAWGAUUGGGCGWAAAGCGUKCGCWGGKGGCRUUKAAAGUCUGCUGUUAAAGAGUUUGGCUCAACCCAAUACACGCGGUGGAAACUACAAAGCUAGAGAGCGGUAGGGGCAGAGGGAAAACCUGGUGUAGAGGUGAAAAGCGUAGAGAUCAGGAAGAACACCGGNGGCGAAAGCGCUCUGCUAGGSCGCAACUGACACUGAGGGACGAAAGCUAGGGGAGCGAAAGGGAU